rnacentral:tRNA from 1 species
AAUGAUAUGCCUGAUAAAAAGGAUUAUUAUGAUAUAAUAAAUUAUGUAAAAAAUUACUAUCAUUA